GGGGGUGAUCGGUUUCGACGGUGGUCGUGCUUCGAGGAGAAGCGGGCCGAGGAUGCAGACUUAUCUCGUAAACGACGUCUGCAAACCAAUAGGUGCCGAUUCCAAGCGCACCGACUUCGCACUCGCCGCCUGAGCGAGUCUUCGAAGUCCGUCAGCCCGGGGUUGCUCUCGCCCCGGUUCCUGGCGUCAGCUAGAGAGCCACUGCUUACGACGCUCGUCAUUGGCGGCGUAGGGACUCUUAGAUGACUGAGCCCGUCAGCACCUUGUCUGUGUGAGUGCUGGGGCCGAGAAAAUCAACAGCAGACUGCGCCCGGAGAAGACCUGGAUUUGCGUCACCGGACCGGGGUUCGAUUCCCCGCACCUCCACCA
rfam:Oerskovia sp. Root918 contig_4, whole genome shotgun sequence.